AGAGUUUGAUCCUGGCUCAGGAUGAACGCUAGCGACAGGCUUAACACAUGCAAGUCGAGGGGCAGCGGGAGGAAAGCUUGCCUUUCUUGCCGGCGACCGGCGCACGGGUGAGUAACACGUAUGCAACCUGCCCAUUACAGGGGGAUAACACUGAGAAAUCGGUACUAAUACCCCAUAACAUCCAGGGAGGCAUCUUCUUGGGUUGAAAACUCCGGUGGUAAUGGAUGGGCAUGCGUUGUAUUAGUUAGUUGGUGGGGUAACGGCUCACCAAGACCACGAUACAUAGGGGGACUGAGAGGUUAACCCCCCACAUUGGUACUGAGACACGGACCAAACUCCUACGGGAGGCAGCAGUGAGGAAUAUUGGUCAAUGGACGCAAGUCUGAACCAGCCAUGCCGCGUGCAGGAAGACGGCUCUAUGAGUUGUAAACUGCUUUUGUACGAGGGUAAACGCAGAUACGCGUAUCUGUCUGAAAGUAUCGUACGAAUAAGGAUCGGCUAACUCCGUGCCAGCAGCCGCGGUAAUACGGAGGAUUCAAGCGUUAUCCGGAUUUAUUGGGUUUAAAGGGCGCGUAGGCGGUCGGAUAAGUUAGAGGUGAAAUCCCGAGGCUCAGCUUCGGAAUUGCCUCUGAUACUGUUUGGCUAGAGAGUAGUUGCGGUAGGCGGAAUGUAUGGUGUAGCGGUGAAAUGCUUAGAGAUCAUACAGAACUCCGAUUGCGAAGGCAGCAUACCGGCGCUCAACUGACGCUCAUGCACGAAAGCGUGGGUAUCGAACAGGAUUAGAUACCCUGGUAGUCCACGCAGUAAACGAUGAAUACUAAUUGUCCGGGCAGAAUGAUGCCUGGGUGAUACAGCGAAAGCGUUAAGUAUUCCACCUGGGGAGUACGCCGGCAACGGUGAAACUCAAAGGAAUUGACGGGGGCCCGCACAAGCGGAGGAACAUGUGGUUUAAUUCGAUGAUACGCGAGGAACCUUACCCGGGCUCAAACGACACAGGAAUACUUUUGAAAGGAGGUAGCCAGCAAUGGUCUGUGUCGAGGUGCUGCAUGGUUGUCGUCAGCUCGUGCCGUGAGGUGUCGGCCUAAGUGCCAUAACGAGCGCAACCCCUACCGCCAGUUGCCAGCAGGUAAAGCUGGGGACUCUGGCGGGACUGCCGGCGCAAGCUGCGAGGAAGGCGGGGAUGACGUCAAAUCAGCACGGCCCUUACGUCCGGGGCGACACACGUGUUACAAUGGCAGGUACAGCGGGAAGCCACCUGGCGACAGGGCGCGGAACCCGAAAACCUGUCUCAGUUCGGAUUGGAGUCUGCAACCCGACUCCAUGAAGCUGGAUUCGCUAGUAAUCGCGCAUCAGCCACGGCGCGGUGAAUACGUUCCCGGGUCUUGCACACACCGCCCGUCAAG
rnacentral:rRNA from 1 species